rnacentral:rRNA from 1 species
UACGGAGGGUGCAAGCGUUUAAUCGGAAUUACUGGGCGUAAAGCGUGCGUAGGCGGUUCGUUAAGUCUGUUGUGAAAGCCCCGGGCUCAACCUGGGAAUGGCAAUGGAUACUGGCGAGCUAGAGUGUGUCAGAGGAUGGUGGAAUUCCCGGUGUAGCGGUGAAAUGCGUAGAGAUCGGGAGGAACACCUGUGGCGAAGGCGGCCCCCCUGGGCCGGCCCUGACACUGAGACGCGAAGGCGUGGGGAGCGAACGGG